UUCAACUUUUUCAUCUUUUAAUUUGUUUGAAGACCAGAUCUCGUCCACUUGCUGCUUUGUGAAACUUUGGUUUUUUCAAUGUCUGUGAAUCCACUUAUUGAGCUUCAAGAGUAGGCAUCGGAUGAGUUAAGGAAGUCAAUGGACGCAGCAGGGGAAAGAGCAGAAACUGCUGACCGAACAUUGUAAGAUUACUGACUGUUGCAGAGCUCGAUGGAAGAGGUCAUUGGUUUGGAAGGUACUCUCUAAGGAUCUUUGGUGAAUUUCUGCAGUAGAUGGCUACUCAACAUCGGUAGUGGAGGGAUUUAAUAUUUGUGGAUCUGGAGCCAACCAAGCAGACUGCUUUUUCCUGCAUUUACUAUCUCAUUCAUUACCCUCUUCAAGAUCCCAGGAAGAAAUCUACCUGGACAUGGACACUUGUCAACCUGCAGCUCCAUGACUUUGCUGUGCAUUAUAUCUCUCAUGAUGAUUCUUCCAAAAUAGAAAACAUCCUCUCCAAAUGUACCCUGUCAAUACUCAGAAGUGUCUUAUAUGUUUCAAUCAAGUCACCUCUCAUUCUUCUAAAUUUCAUUGAAAGAAACCUAGUGUGUCCAACCUUUCAUGAGCUUUCCUGUUUAAGAGGUAUGUGAGAAAGUGAGUCAUAUCCAAUAUGCUGGAUUAAAGGAAACAGUGAUCCUCCAGGCCAUUGUUUAGAUCCAUACAUGUGCUGAAACCCCCCAGGAGAAUCUACAAAAAAAAAACUGUCCUCUGUACUUGGACUCAGAAGAAAAGGGAUUUAGAUUAGAUUUCCUACAGUGUGGAAACUGGCUCUUCGGUCCAACCAAUCCACACCGACCUUCCGAAGAA